AUUGAACGCUGGCGGCAGGCCUAACACAUGCAAGUCGAGCGGAUGAAGGGAGCUUGCUCCUGGAUUCAGCGGCGGACGGGUGAGUAAUGCCUAGGAAUCUGCCUGGUAGUGGGGGAUAACGUCCGGAAACGGGCGCUAAUACCGCAUACGUCCUGAGGGAGAAAGUGGGGGAUCUUCGGACCUCACGCUAUCAGAUGAGCCUAGGUCGGAUUAGCUAGUUGGUGGGGUAAAGGCCUACCAAGGCGACGAUCCGUAACUGGUCUGAGAGGAUGAUCAGUCACACUGGAACUGAGACACGGUCCAGACUCCUACGGGAGGCAGCAGUGGGGAAUACUGGACAAUGGGCGAAAGUCUGAUCCAGCCAUGCCGCGUGUGUGAAGAAGGUCUUCGGAUUGUAAAGCACUUUAAGUUGGGAGGAAGGGCAGUAAGUUAAUACCUUGCUGUUUUGACGUUACCAACAGAAUAAGCACCGGCUAACUUCGUG
rnacentral:rRNA from 1 species